CGGGGCUUAAAGUCUUGUAAUUGGAAUGAUGGGAAUUUAAACCUCUUCCAGAGUAUCAAUUGGAGGGCAAGUCUGGUGCCAGCAGCCGCGGUAAUUCCAGCUCCAAUAGCGUAUAUUAAAAUUGUUGCAGUUAAAAAGCUCGUAGUUGAAUUUCUGCUGCAUUCCCCUUUCUCCCUUACGAGUUUGGGCCUUGCGGCUUAUCUGGGUUCGCUUGCGUUCCCGGUGUUUUACUUUGAGAAAAUUAGAGUGCUCAAAGCAGGCUUUUGCCUUGAAUAGUUUAGCAUGGAAUAAUAAAGUAGGACUUUGGUUCUAUUUUGUUGGUUUUAGGUACCAAAGUAAUGGUUAAUAGGAACAGUUGGGGGCAUUCGUAUUUAACUGUCAGAGGUGAAAUUCUUAGAUUUGUUAAAGACGAACUACUGCGAAAGCAUUUGCCAAGGAUGUUUUCAUUAAUCAAGAAC
rnacentral:rRNA from 2 species